AGUGAACGCUGGCGGUAGGCCUAACACAUGCAAGUCGAACGGCAGCACAGUAAGAGCUUGCUCUUACGGGUGGCGAGUGGCGGACGGGUGAGGAAUACAUCGGAAUCUACUUUUUCGUGGGGGAUAACGUAGGGAAACUUACGCUAAUACCGCAUACGACCUACGGGUGAAAGCAGGGGAUCUUCGGACCUUGCGCGAUUGAAUGAGCCGAUGUCGGAUUAGCUAGUUGGCGGGGUAAAGGCCCACCAAGGCGACGAUCCGUAGCUGGUCUGAGAGGAUGAUCAGCCACACUGGAACUGAGACACGGUCCAGACUCCUACGGGAGGCAGCAGUGGGGAAUAUUGGACAAUGGGCGCAAGCCUGAUCCAGCCAUACCGCGUGGGUGAAGGAGGCCUUCGGGUUUUAAAGCCCUUUUGUUGGGAAAGAAAAGCAGCAGGUUAAUACCCCGCUGUUCUGACGGUACCCAAAGAAUAAGCACCGGCUAACUUCGUG
rnacentral:rRNA from 1 species